rnacentral:rRNA from 1 species
UAGCAAUACCACCGGCGGACGGGUGCGUAACGCGUACACAACGUGCCCUUGAGCGGGGGAUAGCAUUGGGAAACUGAUGGUAAAACCCCAUGGUGUUAGAGAGUGGCAUCACUUUCUAACUAAAGGUUACACUCAAGGAUCGGUGUGCGUCUGAUUAGGUAGUUGGCGGGGUAACGGCCCACCAAGCCGACGAUCAGUAGGGGGUGUGAGAGCAUGACCCCCCACACGGGUACUGAGACACGGACCCG